rnacentral:lncRNA from 1 species
ACCGAAACCAGAGCCCAUGCCACAUCCUGAGCCUAAACCUGAACCAAAGCCCAUGCCGGAGCCAAAGCCAAUGCCACAUCCAGAGCCGAAACCUGAGCCCAUGCCUCACCCUGAACCGAAACCUGAGCCAAAGCCCGAACCUAAGCCUGAGCCAAAACCCAUGCCCGAGCCAAAACCUGAACCAAAACCCAUGCCCGAGCCUAAGCCGGAACCUAAGCCUGAGCCAAAACCUGAACCAAAACCUAAGCCUGAGCCAAAACCUGAACCAAAACCUAAGCCUGAGCCAAAACCCAUGCCCGAGCCGAAACCUGAACCAAAACCCAUGCCCGAGCCUAAGCCUGAGCCAACACCCGUGCCCGAGCCAAAGCCGGAACCUAAGCCCGAGCCGAAACCCAUGCCCGAGCCAAAACCCAAGCCCGAGCCAAAGCCGGAACCCAAGCCCGAGCCAAAGCCGGAACCUAAGCCCAAGCCGGAACCCAAGCCCGAGCCAAAGCCGGAACCUAAGCCCGAGCCGAAACCCAAGCCCGAGCCAAAGCCGGAACCCAAGCCCGAGCCAAAGCCCGAACCGAAGCCAAAGCCGAAGCCGGAACCUAAACCCGAGCCCAAGCCUGAACCAGAGCCGAAGCCGUAUCCUAAGCCGGAACCAAAACCCAAGCCAGAACCUAAGCCAGAACCCAAGCCAGAACCUAAGCCCGAAC